AUUGUACAUUUGAUGAUCGCCUAGUCUCUCUUGAGAGGCUGGGAGGAAAGUCCGAGCUUCCCCACACCCUUCUCGAAGGGUGGGGAAAAAGGUAGUGGAUAACGUCCACCCUCUUUAUCUGUAAAGAUAUUGGGCGGGAAAGUGCCACAGAGACUAUACUAGUCCCGACUUGUCGGGAUAAAAGGUGAAAAGUAGUUUGAUAUCAUUUACUCUCGAGAUAAAUGGUUACAAGCUUCGACUCUCAGUGAUGAGAUGUCGUGGUAAACCCUACCUGAAGAAAGAGCAGCCUUGCUACGCUACGCUACGCCAGGUAAACUAAAAGUAGUUUAUCAGGCGUAGCGUAUGCGGAGCCUGGAAAAGUUGGUUCGUUUGAAUCGGUAAGUAAUUAUCGAUCUAGAUAAAUGAUCAUCGUCUCGAUUUAUCGAGAUUACAGAAUUCGGCUUAUAAAUGUAGAAUGAAC
rnacentral:RNase_P_RNA from 1 species